CUUCAGCUGCACAACCAGCACUCUGCACAGAAGCGCAGAGAAAGCUUUCAUUUAAUCAGUUUGAAUUCCUAAGCCUGAUGAAGAUAUACGAUGAACUCAGCAGCCAGGAUCAGACCCAAAGGAGUACUGAUUGAUCGGCACUGUCCAGGUUCCCUGACACUGGAAAUACGUUAUAUGAACGCAACUCUCCAGAGUCUCUUCAGACUCUUAACUUUCAUCUAGGACAUACAAGAUCCAGGAGAGAAGAGAGCUGCAGGAGACUGAAGUAUGGAGAAAUGUAUCGUUAUUGAAAUCACUUUAAUCUUAGUCAUGCGUCCUACUUGUGGAUUUUAUGAGUUCACCUCUUUAAAUGUGCUCAGCCCAAGCUGACAUUUUAGCUGUGUUCACUGAUGUGUUCAAGUUAAUGAAUGGCAGCUAAAACUGUUU